rnacentral:ncRNA from 2 species
GACGUACUAGCGGGAGAGACUGGUUCGCGCAGCGAAUCGGCGCCGAAGGAGCAACUGCCCCGGAAACUCUCAGGCAAAAGGACCGCUAGCACGAG